rnacentral:rRNA from 1 species
ACGGAAUUUACAUGAAGCCUAGCGAUUGUAAAUUUAGUGGCGGACGGGUGAGUAACGCGUGGGUAACCUGCCUUGUACUGGGGGACAACAGUUGGAAACGACUGCUAAUACCGCAUAAGCGCACAGCUUCGCAUGAAGCAGUGUGAAAAACUCCGGUGGUACAAGAUGGACCCGCGUCUGAUUAGCUGGUUGGUGAGGUAACGGCCCACCAAGGCGACGAUCAGUAGCCGGCCUGAGAGGGUGAACGGCCACAUUGGGACUGAGACACGGCCCAAACUCCUACGGGAGGCAGCAGUGGGGAAUAUUGCACAAUGGGGGAAACCCUGAUGCAGCAACGCCGCGUGAGUGAAGAAGUAUUUCGGUAUGUAAAGCUCUAUCAGCAGGAAAGAAAAUGACGGUACCUGACUAAGAAGCCCCGGCUAACUACGUGCCAGCAGCCGCGGUAAUACGUAGGGGGCAAGCGUUAUCCGGAUUUACUGGGUGUAAAGGGAGCGUAGACGGUUUUGCAAGUCUGAAGUGAAAGCCCGGGGCUUAACCCCGGGACUGCUUUGGAAACUGUAGGACUAGAGUGCAGGAGAGGUAAGUGGAAUUCCUAGUGUAGCGGUGAAAUGCGUAGAUAUUAGGAGGAACACCAGUGGCGAGGG